rnacentral:rRNA from 1 species
AUCGCCUCUUGCAUUCCAAAGUAUAAGAGGUCCCACCUGCCCUGUGACUCUAAGUUUAACGGCCGCGGUAUUCUAACCGUGCGAAGGUAGCGCAAUCAAUUGCCUUUUAAAUGAAGGCCUGUAUGAAUGGUAUAACGAGGGUCUAGCUGUCUCUUUUUUCUAGUCAGUUAAACUGAUCUGUCCGUGCAGAAGCGGACAUAAAUAUACAAGACGAGAAGACCCUAUGGAGCUUUAGACACUAGCCAACUGUGAAUAAGCGACUAAACUGAACAAGUCCUAAAUACCCGCAGCCUUAUGGUGAUGUAGUCUUAGGUUGGGGCGACCACGGGAGAAAGUAAAGCUCCCAAGCAGACCGGGAAAACCCUUAAGCCGAGAGUUGCAACUCUAAGCCGCAAAAUUUUUGACUGAAAUGAUCCGGUUGAAAAACCGAUUAACGAACCAAGUUACCCUAGGGAUAACAGCGCAAUCCUCUCCCAGAGUCCCUAUCGACGAGGGGGUUUACG